rnacentral:rRNA from 1 species
GAUGAACGCUGGCGGCGUGCCUAACACAUGCAAGUCGAGCGCCCCUUUAAGAGGUGACAAUCGAAGAUUGUCGGUUCCUAUGGGGAGCGGCGGACGGCUGAGUAACGCGUGGGAACGUGCCCCAAAGUGAGGGAUAACGCACCGAAAGGUGUGCUAAUACCGCAUAUGAUCUUCGGAUUAAAGAAUUUAUUCGCUUUGGGAGCGGCCUGCGUCCUAUUAGAUAGUUGGUGAGGUAAAGGCUCACCAAGUCAACGAUGGGUAGCUGGUCUGAGAGGAUGACCAGCCAGACUGGAACUGAGACACGGUCCAGACUCCUACGGGAGGCAGCAGUAAGGAAUCUUCCACAAUGGGCGAAAGCCUGAUGGAGCAACGCCGCGUGCAGGAUGAAGGCCCUCGGGUCGUAAACUGCUUUUAUGAGUGAAGAAUAUGACGGUAACUCAUGAAUAAGGGUCGGCUAACUACGUGCCAGCAGCCGCCGUAA